GACGAACGCUGGCGGCGUGCUUAACACAUGCAAGUCGAACGAUGAAGCGGUGCUUGCACCGUGGAUUAGUGGCGAACGGGUGAGUAAUACGUGAGUGACCUACCUUUGACUCUGGGAUAAGCCUGGGAAACUGGGUCUAAUACCGGAUACGACCAAUCUCUGCAUGGGGUGUUGGUGGAAAGCGUUAUGGAGUGGUUUUAGAUGGGCUCACGGCCUAUCAGCUUGUUGGUGAGGUAAUGGCUUACCAAGGCGACGACGGGUAGCCGGCCUGAGAGGGUGACCGGCCACACUGGGACUGAGACACGGCCCAGACUCCUACGGGAGGCAGCAGUGGGGAAUAUUGCACAAUGGGCGCAAGCCUGAUGCAGCGACGCCGCGUGAGGGAUGACGGCCUUUCGGGUUGUAAACCUCUGUUAGCAUCGAAGAAGCGAAAGUGACGGUAGGUGCAGAGAAA
rnacentral:rRNA from 1 species